rnacentral:rRNA from 1 species
CACGUAGGGGACGAGCGUUGUCCGGAUUCAUUGGGCGUAAAGCGCGCGUAGGCGGCUCGGAAAGUCGGUCGUGAAAUGCCGGGGCUCAACCCCGGGACUGCGUCCGAUACUCCCGAGCUGGAGGCAGGUAGGGGAGAUCGGAAUUCCUGGUGUAGCGGUGAAAUGCGCAGAUAUCAGGAGGAACACCGGUGGCGAAGGCGGAUCUCUGGGCCU